GUCUAGACAGGUGACUGGAGUGGCGGUUUCGGUGCUGUGACGUGUGGUGGGUAUUCAGUCAUGCAUUACAUCUGCUGGAUGAAGGUUUGUUGGAGAAAGCUCGACUGGAAGAGAAAGGAGAAGAUGAAGCACUCAACAUAUUGCUCAUUGGGAUGGGAGAUAUUCCACAUAUUGUCAAGACUCUGGCUCUAAGCCACAGACACAGAAAACCAAAGUUGAAGUUCUAUAUCAUUGAUAACAGUUUAGAAGUGAUCGCUAUGCACAUGCUCUUACUGGCCGUGUUAUUUGAGCAGCCAGACCAACUUGGACUGCAAGUCAAGUUCGAGUUUGUUUUACUUGUGUCUUUGUGUAUAUAGAUAUAGUUUGCAUUUAUUGUGAUAGAAAAGGUGGAGUUGUGUUCUUGAGUUGUAUGGAAACUCUCUGAUUCAUCAGCAGACAUUCGAUUACCUCCAAACAAAAUGUGAUCAUAAAAUUUAUCAACUCAACCAUCAGUUCAUCGAUGCAAUCCUGUGUCUGGUCAUUAGAGUAUUCGAAAUAUCUUGUUGAAAACACACCGGGAAGGCUACCCUACAAAGCCAUGAAUCUCGUCGUCUACUAAUUGUCCCGUUUCAAACUGUAUAUCAGUGGGUGCUCGUGUUUUGCCAAAGUGAGCGUAUUGAUUGUACAUCGGGACUUUUACUAUAAUCUUUCUUGUCUAAUUCUCCUGUAACGAUGUCUCAUGUGGUUGUCAGGGUUGAACUCACAGCAAUGUUUCAAAAGAUGUGCAACAAUCUCUGAGGUUCUCUUUGUGUACCAGUACAUGUCGAUCUAAAGCUGGACUUGCUUCUCAUAUGUGAGCUCAUCAACAUUAAGAUCGGACAAUCUAACAUCUUAUGUUUGAUUGUAAUGAGUAUAGUGUGUAUCUAUUGUAGACAAGCGUCGUUCAUAAUCAAGAGUACAAGAAGUGGAGAGUUGGGCCUUGGAUUUUAUACUGAUUAUGAAGAUGUUAUGUUUGUCUGCUGUCUGUCUGUCUGUCUGUCUGUCUGUCUGUCUGUCUGUCUGUCUUUUUGUUUGUGUAUGUGUCUGUUUGUGUGUUGUCCAUGUGUUUGUGUCUCUAUCUGUCUACUUGUUUGUCUGUCUGUCUGUUUGUCUUUGUGUUUAUCAGUCUUACUCUGGUUUUCUGUCUGGUUGGUUCUGCUUAUUUGCUUACCAUUUAGAUCAUAGUUUUAGGAUGUGGCAGACAAAAGUUGGCAGAGGAUCUUAUCAGAAAACAAUGGCAUUUAUUUGUAGGAAUAUUGGAUGCAGAUGAUGUUGCCGAUUAUUUAUACCAACGAGAGAUAAUAUCAUCUGGUGAGAUGGUAAAUGUUAAUAACACUGAUGAUCUUGGGAAAGAGAGGAGAACUUUACUGAAGUUGAUUAUGAAACGUCCGUGGGUUGACGGAGUACAAUUUGCAAAGAUACUUUCAGUUAGUGAAGUCAACCAUGAAGUCAGACGAAUGUUGCUAUGCAAUGCAGCCUCUCAUGUGCACAAGACGAGCGGAGAGUGAUGUUAUUGUAUCUGUUUGCUCUUUGUGUGCGAGGGUAGGAAAUGGCUGGAAGUCCAGAAUCUGUUGAUGACUCGUCACCACUGUCUGACCUACACAGUAUGGUUGAGUCGGCUGUCGACUGUCGGCAGUAACAACAAUUCAAACCGAUAGUGGACAUGAUGGGGGAGAUAGUUGAUUGUUUGACAAGUGUGAUAUCUUAUCCUGGUUAUUGAUAUCAAUUAGUGUUGGAAAAUGUUAGGCUGACAAUGUAUUUGUUGUUAUAGAAUAGGAAAAUUUAUAGAUUAGUGCAAACACUG